rnacentral:miRNA from 10 species
GCACUUGAAAUCUUGUCUCAGGCCU